rnacentral:rRNA from 1 species
CCUACGGGAGACAGCAGUGGGGAAUAUUGGGCAAUGGGCGCAAGUCUGACCCAGCAACGCAGCGUGAAGGAAGAAGGCUCUCGGGUUGUAAACUUCUUUUCUCAGGGACGAAGCAAGUGACGGUACCUGAGGAAUAAGCCACGGCUAACUACGGGCAUGCAGCCGCGGUAAUACGUAGGUGGCAAGCGUUAUCCGGAUUUACUGGGUGUAAAGGGCGUGUAGGCGGGACUGCAAGUCAGAUGUGAAAACCAUGGGCUCAACCUAUGGCCUGCAUUUGAAACUGUAGUUCUUGAGUACUGGGGAGGCAGACGGAAUUCCUAGUGUAGCGGUGAAAUGCUUAGAUAUUAGGAGGAACACCAGUGGCGAAGGCGGUCUGCUGGACAGCAACUGACGCUGAGGCGCGAAAGCGUGGGGAUCAAACAGGAUUAGAUACCCCUGUAGUC